UUCACCGUGUGCAUCUGCUUCGAUUACGUCGGUCAUCUUGCAUUCGAUAUAUUUAGAAUAUUCAUUUUGCUCUCUGUGGGUUUUCAAUUAUUUGCAAAUAUAUUGAAUUAGUCACUUAUGCGUUUGAAAACACUAUCGGUUUUUCGUUGUAUAAAUCUACGAUCCUUUCAUCAACAUGCAUGUACUCCAGCACUUUCAGUAUUAUCUUUUCUUAACCUACACUUACUGGAUGUCUAAACUAUAAAUGGCUUUCACGAUGGGCGCUCCUAUCUCCAAAAGACCUCCUGUGUAUUAUAUCUGUGCAAACUACAAAUAUUAUUCUACUACAUGGUACCGAUGGAAUCACCUUAAUGCCAAAAACAACAUACAG